UACAGAGGUCCCAAGCGUUGUUCGGAUUUACUGGGCGUAAAGGGCGCGUAGGCGGCCUUCUAAGUCGAACGUGAAAUCCCCGGGCUCAACCCGGGAACUGCGUCCGAUACUGGAAGGCUUGAAUCCGGGAGAGGGAUGUGGAAUUCCAGGUGUAGCGGUGAAAUGCGUAGAUAUCUGGAGGAACACCGGUGGCGAAGGCGACAUCCUGGACCGGUAUUGACGCUGAGGCGCGAAAGCCAGGGGAGCAAACGGG
rnacentral:rRNA from 1 species